CUCGGAUACUGUGAAUGGUUACUGUUUCUCACUAAAAUUUCUUUAACUUGAUGAAAUUUUCCAGCAUUUAAAUGCAUAAAAAUAGGUAAAAUGUGUACUCAUAAACAUUUCUCUCAAUUAAAUUCACUAUAGUAAAGCAUUCUAGUUGAUGAAAUGCAAUCGUGACUCACAUCAAAUGUGUUACACUAUAUGUGAAUAGCACACCCUAUGAGAUUGCUGAGAGUUAUAAAUGUGUGUUUCGCUCAUACAACUGUAGAUAUAGCACCGAGCAAAUGCGCUACUUGUGCGUUAUUCACAGCUGAAAUGCGUUGUUUUAUUAAUCGUAUGUGCACACGUCGUCGUAGCGUUAAAAGUUACACGUUUCACUUGACGAAAUGCAUUAAAUUAACCCCGCUGAGUGCUAACCGGAAUGCAUUAUUCCAAUUUAAAAUUAAAACAAAAAAAAAAAAUUUGUUUUUCCUACUCGAUAUUUUAAAAGUUUUAAAAGAAAUGCGCCAUUGAUAUAAACAGCUCUUCCAUCUUUCUUUUCCUCUUCUGUUAUUGCAGAUCAUUCGGAGUAAAGAGGGAUCAUUUUGUAUUUUCGAAGACAUUUUUGACCAUUGCUCAUAAAUGACAGAACGUUUCCUCUUCGCCUCAUCAAACAUACGCGAAAAAUAAAAAAAAAUAAAAAGAAAAGACUUUUGCUUCUGUUCUAUCUAUUCAAAAAUGUUAAAAAGAAAAAAAAAAAGAUUCGAAAACUUAACUUUAAAAGUAUCGAUGAAAGAGGAAAAAUAUAAAAUUUCCUGAAUACUUCUUUAAAACUAGUAAUAAUUAUCUAAGCAUUAUCGCGAUCAAGUGCAGAAGAGAAUAUCAAGUAAAAAUAUUUGAAAAAAAGGGCCUCUCAUGUUUCUUGGGGUUCGUGUCGUGCCAGCUGUGACUGAUAUCGACAGGAGAGAGGAGAGUUUGUCUUUUGUGAAAGAAGAGGGGAAAAAAAAAGAGCGCUUAUAUCAUUGAUAUUCUAUAUUUUUAUUUAUCUAUCGUAAAAGUGAUAAACAAACUACAAUAUCUCCCUUUAACUCUCGGCAUGAAAAUCUAUUUCGUGGAGAAAGGAUCAUCUGAGAAAAGUAUGCAAAAUGCGUAAGAAAUAUAUGCGUUUUAAAUAGUUUUACAGUCAAGAAAGUAUCGUUUUCCGUUUUAUACUGCACACAUCAAUACAACUAUUUCAAAAAAAUUCUGCAUUUUUUUUUUUUUUUUUGUUGUUGUUGUUGAAAUUUUAAGAGGAAAAUAUAUUAGAAUUUUAAUAUUCAC
rnacentral:lncRNA from 1 species